UCACUGGCCACUCCUCGUGCUGCGACAGGUGCUUCCGGCUGUGUUAAUAUUUGCGAGUCAGGUACCUGAAGUAGCGCGCGGAGUGGCUCGGAA
rnacentral:pre_miRNA from 1 species